CUGUUUCAUUCCCCAAAUAUUUACCAGCUGUCCUCCCUAGGUUUCUGUGUUCUUUCUCCCAUUCCAGUCAAUUCUAAACACAUUACCAGGCCAGAAACUAUGGGCCCAGGAUAGAUGAACAGCAGAGCUGAGGCAGAAGAAUCGAUGGCAGGCCAGCCACAAUGGUUACAGGGAUGCUACCUGCUGUGUGCUUGGAAAUCACAGGAGGUGCCAUCCCUGCAAAUCUCUACAGUCAAGUCUGAAUCUGUCUGGUGGUGGGAUGAAGUGUCAGGAAGGCUUUUCCACAGACAUCACAUCCGAGUGAGUUUGGAAAGAAGAGUGGCAAGAUAAAGUAAAAGGCAUUCCAGUUUGAGGUCAAAGAUGUCUAACCCAACUUGGCCAAUUUAAGGACCUACACGCUGCUCAUGCCAGAGGAAGGAAGACAGAAAGACACAUACUGCAUGAUCUCACUCGAAUGGAAUCCAAAUAACUUACAGAAGCAGGGUAACCACCAUUAUACACAAUAAAAUAACACAAUGGUUA